GGUCUUGGCUCUACAGCAUUUGGAAGUAAUGGGAAACGUGGAACAUUGGAGAUGCGUUAGUACAUUAAAGGGACACUCUGUAGGUUGAACAUUUCUGUUGCUGUGCUGUUGGUAGCAGAGAUCGUUCUCUUUGUUUGGGUUACAUUAAUGAUAAGGCCACCACCAUUCAUGACUUAUUUUCUAACUCUGUUCUUUAUAUAUCAUGGUAGUGUGAAGUUUUAUUAGUUACGUUAACUUAUUUUUUAAAAUUACAAUAGAGUCUCGAUUAUCCAAAUAAAUGUGGACCUAGACUAACCAAUAAACAUGGUUAGAGAGAAAAUUGCAGGUAAAAUAAUUU